UUGAUCCUGCCAGUAGUCAUAUGCUUGUCUCAAAGAUUAAGCCAUGCAUGUCUCAGUACAAGCCGCAUUAAGGUGAAACCGCGAAAGGCUCAUUAAAUCAGUUAUGGUUCCUUAGAUCGUACCAACAUUUACUUGGAUAACUGUGGUAAUUCUAGAGCUAAUACAUGCAAACAGAGUUCCGACCGGAGACGGGAGGAAUGCUUUUAUUAGAUCAAAACCAAUCGGCGGCGUGCGCGUUCGCGCGCACGUUCGCCGCUCAACCUGGUGACUCUGAAUAACUUCCGGCUGAUCGCACGGUCCAGCACCGGCGACGCAUCUUUCAAAUGUCUGCCUUAUCAACUGUCGAUGGUAGGUUCUGCGCCUACCAUGGUCGUAACGGGUAACGGGGAAUCAGGGUUCGAUUCCGGAGAGGGAGCCUGAGAAACGGCUACCACAUCCAAGGAAGGCAGCAGGCGCGCAAAUUACCCACUCCCGGCACGGGGAGGUAGUGACGAAAAAUAACGAUACGGGACUCAUCCGAGGCCCCGUAAUCGGAAUGAGUACACUUUAAAUCCUUUAACGAGGAUCAAUUGGAGGGCAAGUCUGGUGCCAGCAGCCGCGGUAAUUCCAGCUCCAAUAGCGUAUAUU
rnacentral:rRNA from 1 species